AACGCGAAGAACCUUACCAAGUCUUGACAUCGGAAUGACCGUCCCGUAACGGGGGCUUCCCUUCGGGGCAUUCCAGACAGGUGGUGCAUGGUUGUCGUCAGCUCGUGUCGUGAGAUGUUGGGUUAAGUCCCGCAACGAGCGCAACCCUUAUCCUUAGUAGCCAGCACAUCAUGGUGGGCACUCUGGGGAGACUGCCAGGGAUAACCUGGAGGAAGGUGGGGAUGACGUCAAAUCAUCAUGCCCCUUAUGAUUUGGGCUACACACGUGCUACAAUGGCGUAAACAAAGGGAAGCGAAGGAGCGAUCUGGAGCAAAUCCCAAAAAUAACGUCUCAGUUCGGAUUGUAGUCUGCAACUCGACUACAUGAAGCUGGAAUCGCUAGUAAUCGCAGAUCAGAAUGCUGCGGAU
rnacentral:rRNA from 1 species